AGCCCAGUUGUUGAUGUCCCUGC
rnacentral:siRNA from 1 species